GCCAGGGACUCGAACGAGGCUCAGGCCACAUCAUGAGCUUCCUGAGCUCCAGCUCUAAAUUGUGACCCCUGUGUGGGACUUUGUGGGCUGUGGACACAGAGCUAGGGUGUGGUAAGGCUGGGUGACACUCCCCCUGUUCCCCAGGAGCCCUUCCAGAAGGUGGUGCCCUCUCAGUGUCUGGGCUCCACCUGGGGCAAGAGGAACAAGUCCGGCAAUGAGCACCUGGCACACACCGUCCGGGCCAAUAUCGACCACUUCAGAAGGGUGGCCAACCUCGUCAUCACCACCUGCCUCGGGGUCCCGAGCAUGAUGGACCAGGACAGGGCGAGGGUGGUGGAGCGCUGGAUCCAGGUGGCCCAGGUGUGCUGUGGCAGGCCCAGUGGAGCCCCUCUCUGGAGCCUUAGGAACUGCCUCCACCUUUAUCAGCUCCCAGGAUUGCAGUGUGUGGUCUAAGCCCCUGCAAGUCCCUAGGUCCUUCCUGCCAGGAGCACGCUGAUUUUGACUCCAGGUCCCAGUGCGGGGAUGCUCACUUCCUACGUGACUCCCUCCUUGGGUUGAGCUAAAAUCCUCCUCCUUGUGAGUGUUACACUUUGGGUCCUAAAUGUGCCCUUCUGGGGCUCCCUGAACAUCUGUCUAUUCCAGGAGGGGAGAUUUAAAUAGAAGGGUACUGAAGCUAGAGCAAGCAGGGCUCCAGCGCCCCACCUCACAGCUCAUUCUCUUCCCUUCCCCAGGAGUUCGAGAUCCUGAAGAACUUCUCCUCGCCCCGCACUGUCAUCUCUGCUCUGCAGAAAACAUCCAUAUGCCACUUGAAGAACACAUGGGGGAAGUUUCCUGGGAGAGCUCUGAAAAAUUUAAGGAGCGCUAUAGCCAAGACGUGUCCUUGAACAGAGAACUGAUGACCAAGGUCAAACACCAAGGGUAGAGGUCUUCAAGAGAUCAAGUCUAAUCUACCUACGGGUGUGGCAGGCUUACCUAUGGAUGUUCAAGCCAGACAUUGCCAGAAGAACUACAUCUCUUCACCCAUAGAAAAAUGAAUGAUGUGACCAUUUGGUGCAGGACAACAGCAUUAUGUUCACCAGUCUCUGUACUGUAUGUUACUGCACAGCACGGACUGUAGGAAAAAGCCCAGAGGAGCAAUGAAGACAAAGAAGACACGACACCUGCAAAAAGUCAGUGAAGUAUUUCUACACAACAAACCUUCCAGCUACUCUGACUCCAAAUACUACAGCACCACAUGCUUCUCAGACUGGUGGAUGCACAGCUCCACUUCUUUGCAGAGAGGAUGCACAACAGCAGAAUAUCCGUGGCCCGACUUUCUGGAGCAUCAGUACUACUACAAGAUUUAGAAAAAGCAAAGUUAGGUCAUUUCCAAGGUUCUCCGCCACCAACUUCCAUAACCAUCAGGAUAUUCUACAACUUCUGCAAGAGUAACAAUUUUACCUUACACUGUAUUUGUCUCAUGUGGUUUAAAACAUCCAGAAAUCAUUGAUAAACUGACCCUGCCCAAACUAAAGCAUGGUGAGUUAUAAAAGAUGGUCGCUGUUAAGUGGGGAGGGAUUGCAGGUUGAACUUAAUUUUAUAAGUGGUCAAUUUAUUACAAUAUAUUGUUCUAUUAUCUAUUUCACUUCUUUUUUAAAAAAAGUGAUAUUUGAGGGCACUUAGAUAAUAAAAAGUUGAGAAGAUAAAGAACUGAUAUACUCUGUAAGCUUGAAAUGUUUUCAAGCAUAAGAUACAAUAAGAACUAAAACUAAGAAAUGGCAGAGGAAAUAGAGAUAAGAGGAUGAAAUUGCAAAACUGAAUCUAUAAUAAUAUCUCAAUGGCUAGCGCUGUGGUGCCAAGAAGGUGGUGUAGUCAAAGAAUUCGUAAAGAUGAUAAUAGACUGCAAAUAAAAAAGACUGAAAUUUUUGCAGAGAGAAUUUUUACAGCGAUAUUACAGAUAGAGAACAGGGAAGAGAAGUUGGAGUGAGAGACUAUCUUCUUAAAUUACUUCCUCUGUAGAGAACAAAAAACCAAUUUGCUGAAAUCUUUAUUCCCUUCUAUGACCCUGUGGAAGAUCAAGAUUUGGCCACCCUGAAAUCUAUCUCUUUACCUUGGUUGUUUUCUCUGAGGGCAUUUGACCUCCCCCACUAACUGCCUAAAGAAUUUAAAACAAAACAUCUGUUUCAGGAAGGAGUUAUUAUCAUGAUGGCUGUAAAUAUAAUGUACAAUAGAUAUUACAAUAGAAAAGACACCAACAAGCCCAUCUUAUCAGAAGUUCUGUCUCUGACCAUAUUCUUUGGAUGGCCCUGCAAGGAGUUGCCAGACAGACAUUUACAUUUAUAAGGGAAAUCUCCAUUUGUAAAGGUAUCUGCCUCUCUGAAUUGGGAAGAGGGGGAAUGACCUCAUUUCUAGAAACUUAUCAAUGUAAAAGGUGAGGCCUUAAAUCUGCAUAAUAACCUCACUCUUGUUUACUGUGCUUUAGUGGUAAUCUCCUGUAACUGACUCCCCCCACCCCCAACAACUUCCUUUGUCAUUGGCUGAACAUGAUAUUUAAGAUGAGAAUUCUGCUAUUGUGUUGAGAAACGCAGUGUCCUUGCUUUCUCCCAUGCAUACAUGUUAUUAAACUUGGUAUUAUUUUCUCCUUCUAA